AUUGAACGCUGGCGGCAGGCCUAACACAUGCAAGUCGAGCGGUUGAAGGGAGCUUGCUCCUGGAUUCAGCGGUGGACGGGUGAGUAAUGCCUAGGAAUCUGCCUGGUAGUGGGGGAUAACGUCCGGAAACGGGUGCUAAUACCGCAUACGUCCUGAGGGCGAAAGUGGGGGUUCUUCGGACCUCACGCUAUCAGAUGAGCCUAGGUCGGAUUAGCUAGUUGGUGGGGUAAAGGCCUACCAAGGCGACGAUCCGUAACUGGUCUGAGAGGAUGAUCAGUCACACUGGAACUGAGACACGGUCCAGACUCCUGCGGGAGGCAGCAGUGGGGAAUAUUGGACAAUGGGCGGAAGCCUGGUCCAGCCAUGCCGCGUGUGUGAAGAAGAUCUUCGGAUUGUAAAGCACUUUAAGUUGGGAGGAAGGGCAGUAAGUUAAUACCUUGCUGUUUUGACGUUACCAACAGAAUAAGCACCGGCUAACUUCGUG
rnacentral:rRNA from 1 species